rnacentral:rRNA from 1 species
CCUACGGGAGGCAGCAGUGAGGAAUAUUGGCCAAUGGACGAGAGUCUGAACCAGCCAAGUAGCGUGAAGGAUGACUGCCCUAUGGGUUGUAAACUUCUUUUAUAUGGGAAUAAAAUGUUCCACGUGUGGGAUUUUGUAUGUACCAUAUGAAUAAGGAUCGGCUAACUCCGUGCCAGCAGCCGCGGUAAUACGGAGGAUCCGAGCGUUAUCCGGAUUUAUUGGGUUUAAAGGGAGCGUAGGUGGAUUGUUAAGUCAGUUGUGAAAGUUUGCGGCUCAACCGUAAAAUUGCAGUUGAAACUGGCAGUCUUGAGUACAGUAGAGGUGGGCGGAAUUCGUGGUGUAGCGGUGAAAUGCUUAGAUAUCACGAAGAACUCCGAUUGCGAAGGCAGUUCACUGGACUUCAACUGACACUGAGGCUCGAAAGUGUGGGUAUCAAACAGGAUUAGAUACCCGUGUAGUC